CUGUUGACCAUGAGAUAUCACUUCUAAAAACUAGACGUAUUGAGUAUUAGAGGAAUAACACGUUAGUACCUCAGUCAGACCUAGAAAACGCUGAGCAGAAUGCAGCGAUAGCCCCUGUACAGAUGCAUAAUUCCUUUGUUUGAUUUGGGGGUCUGAGAUGAAUAGUGGAGCAGCAGCGGUUGUGGACUCACCUGCGGCGGUCUUGUGUGGGCGUGGGCCGUCCUGCAG